AAAUAUGCUUUAUAGAUAGCACAGGUUCAGGAGAAAGGGUUUCCCCCCUAUGCAAUUAUUGAUGAUACGGGUGUGGAUUUUAAGAUCAAGCUGCUCACUGUUGGUGGGAAGAAGUUGAAGCUUACAAUUUGGGAUACCGCUGGACAAGAGAGGUUCAGGACCUUGACAAGCUCAUACUACAGAGGUGCUCAAGGGAUCGUUCUUGGUAUGUCAUGGAUAGAUCACUAUAGAUUCUUUCAUAUUUAUGAAGCCUUUUUGUCAUCCUGCAAAAUAAGUUAUUCUUUUAAGACGUGAUUGAUAAGAUGAGAUUUUGUUUAUUUAAUUGCAUUAUCAUCGUUCUCGGAUUUCUGGUCAAUUUAUGGACUACUGUUGCUUAGAAAAACAGAAUA